CUUCCGGCGGAAGUGGGAGACCACGGCGCCUGCGGGAGGUGUGAGUACACCGGUCACGGAGCUCAGAGCUGCGGCUCGGGGAUUCGGGCUGCAGGGCAGGGAUUCACUGAGCUUCAAUAGAAAUCCUGGGCCAAGGAGUGGGGCACGUGGUUAAGCACUCACAUUACAGUGCAUAAGGAUCCAGGUUCAAGCCCCUGGUCUCCACCUGCAGGUGGAAAGUUUCACAAGUGGUAAAGUAGGUGAGAAAACGCUUAAAAGUCCAAGGUCCUAGAUUCAACCCCUAGUACCACCAUAAGCCAGAGAUGAGCAGAGCUGUGAUAUAAACACACACACUGUUUACAGUUUUUGAUUACUGGGUACUGCCUCAGGUUCUGCAGGGGUGUUCUUGGACAUACACCUAAGUGUACUGUAUCCUUUUUUUUU